rnacentral:rRNA from 2 species
GGAUGCGAUCAUACCAGCACUAAAGCACCGGAUCCCAUCAAAACUCCGAAGUUAAGGGUGCUUGGGAGAGAGUAGUACUAGGAUGGGUGACCUCCUGGGAAGUCCUCGUGUUGCAUUCC